GCCAACUGCCACCUGACCUGACCUCCAACAGCCAAACUGCAGAAUCUGAGCUUGGCUGAGCAACCACUAGGUUCUGUGGUCACUGAACCUCAGCUAAGGGGACUGCUAGUUUUAAUGGUCACUGCUUCCUGGGGAGGCUGUUAGAUCUGAUGCUCCCAAUCUACGUAGGGUGGGGCCUCUUGCAACUGCCAGAUUCAGAAAAUCAACUAGCUCUUACUACCCACCAACGCACAGUAAGCAUCAGUAAAACCACACAUAAGCCUCUCAGGAUUCAUCUGCCGAGGUCACUGAGAUGUCUCAGUGAAUAAAGACAUUUGCUGAGCGAGUUUGACAACCUGAGUUUGAUCCCCAGAGCCCAUGUAAGGUGGCAUUCAGGUCUGCCUAGCACAGCUGGGACAGGUCCUUGUGGAUAGUGACCACAGGAAAGACUACCCCAGCAGGCACCUUCCAAAGCUGCUGGACAGUGUGAGCAACAAUCAACUCAGCAAAUAAAAUCGAUGCUGCCAAAGCUCCAAGAAUCACCAGAUGUAUACUGUGUAGAAGGUUACUGGUGCUUCCCGGAAGGGCCCGUUCCAGCACUCAUCUGCCACCCACUCCGCAGCAAGGCGAAGGAGAGGGGGGCACAUAUAAGUUGUUCCAAGCCUUGUUCUGAGACUGGUGACCCGGAGACAGCAGCACAUCCACUCGGCUCAGAGAUGCAGAGGAAAACACAGAAGGGACUGAGACAAUGAGCAGCGGUUCUGGGAAAAAGGACAGAGCUAAUCUCAUCCCAGCCUUUCUAACCUGCCCGCCCUGUCUGGUAUGAAAAGCAGCAAAUGUUAAGUGAUCUUACCUCAUUGCCUCGUCCACCAACUGAAGAGGCCAAAGACUCUUCCAGGUCCUCUGCUAAUAGGGACACACUUUCCCUUGGAGUGACAGACACCAGGC